AUUAAACGUGCCUUAAAGGAACACUAUCGUGUUAGGAAUAGCAACCUGCAUUCCUAAUGCUAUAGUACAUAUAAGGUCCCUCCCCACCGCUAGAAACCCUUUUCUACUUCCCUUCAUUCUAGUGCUAAGGCUUCCUCAGCGCUGGCUAGGUCUACUCUUCCCGCAAUGUUAGUACUUUCCUAUGGGAAUUUGAAGACGUUGGACGUCCU